AGGGUUUGAUCAUGGCUCAGGACGAACGCUGGCGGCAUGCCUAACACAUGCAAGUCGAACGAGAAAGUUCCUUCGGGAGCAAUUAAAGUGGCGCACGGGUGAGUAACGCGUAGACAAUCUGCCCUUCAGUCUGGGACAACUUUUCGAAAGGAGAGCUAAUACCGGAUAACAAUGCAUGACACAAGUUGUAUAUUUGAAAGCUUUAUGUGCUGAAGGAGGGGUCUGCGUCCCAUUAGCUAGUUGGUAAGGUAAAGGCUUACCAAGGCAACGAUGGGUAGCGGGUUUGAGAGGACGAUCCGCCACACUGGAACUGAGACACGGUCCAGACUCCUACGGGAGGCAGCAGUGGGGAAUAUUGCACAAUGGAGGAAACUCUGAUGCAGCAAUGUCGCGUGAGUGAAGAAGGCCCUUGGGUCGUAAAGCUCUUUUAUGGGGGAAGAUGAUGACGGUACCCCAAGAAUAAGCACCGGCUAACUAUGUGCCAGCAGCCGCGGUAAUACAUAGGGUGCGAGCGUUGUUCGGAAUUACUGGGCGUAAAGGGCGCGCAGGCGGAAUAGUAAG
rnacentral:rRNA from 1 species